rnacentral:lncRNA from 1 species
GAAAUUAGAAGGGGGGAGGAUUUAUCUUGCCUGCCAAAACGACGCAAUUGUUUAUUUUUAUUUUAUUAAAACAUUUUAGAGGGUGGAUCAGCUUUACUAUUGCUGAUAGAUUGUAGCUUCCAUCAAUUUAAUUCUCUGCAUCAUUUCCAACCCCCCAUAUAUUUUUGGGGUAAAUAUAUAUACACAUACAUACACAUACCCUCAUAUAUACACAUAUAUAUUUUCCUUUAUUAUUCCCCGCAAUCCCUACCACCCCUCCCUAGUUGGAGUAAACUAAUAAACAAUAUCACUUCAACGCUACUUAAGGAUUAAGGAUUUAACUAGCUUCAGCAGCAAACAUGUCUCCACAAAUUAGAAGAGCUUGAACUGCGUUUACUACUCAGGAGGAUAAAUAAAAACAAAGGAUAAAAUGGCAUGUUCGUCCAUGAACCAGAAUCUGGGUUUUUGACGAGUGGCAGCACACAGAAAAGUAUCGCUUCGAAACUAGGAAUCUUGACCGUUUGUGCAUUGUCACGGAAGUGUGCCAGGUUAUCAGGCAUGUCCUGAAGGUGGAUUUUGUUGCCGAUCCCUCUGUGGCAAAAGUUUCCGGAUCGUUGGAAUUAUUCGUUUUAUACAGGAGCUGUCGACAGAAAAUAUAUGCGGAUCUGAGCUCCGGGAAACUCGGACAGCGAGUACUACAACUACAAGGGAUGUUUCUCUAUGAUCCUGAUUGCAGUCUGCGAUGCAAAGUACCGCUUCACCAUGAUCAACGUGGGCGCAUAUGGUCGGGAGGGAGAAGUAAGUUCGGAGUGCUUGCCGAGGACCCAAACACCGAAGCCCAUAUGUCAUCGUGGGAGACGAGGCAUUCCCUCUGAGGGUAAACCUGAUGCGACCAUAUCCAGACCGAGAGUCCUCCGCUCCAAUAGAACUUGAGGAGGGAGCCAUUGGGUUGAAGCAGGAACCAGAGCCCAUGCAGACUAUGGAGAAACGGGAGGGAAGGACCAGGAAGGAGGAAAAUCAGUUUAGAGGACCGGACUCUCAGUCUAGAUUGACUCCUUCCAAUGGAAACGAUGACUAUGAUCAGAACCCACCUCAACACACCUCAGUCAGUCAGUUCCAAACUCACACCGGGGAGAGUAGAGGGGGAGGCUCUCUGUCCAGCUCAACAUCCAAACCAAUCAAAACAUGCUCAACGGGUGACAUGUCUGGUGAGUAUGCAGGUCAUAGUAGAACUGGGACAUUUUCAGCUUCCAGGAAUUGUGUACAGAUCCUUGCAACAUGGGGCUGUGCAUUAUCUUGCUGAAACAUGAGGUGAUGGCUGCGGAUGAAUGGCACGACAAUGUGCCUCAGGAUCUCAUCACGGUAUCUCUGUGCAUUCAAAUUGCCAUGGAUAAAAUGCUAUUGUGUCCGAUGUCCGUAGCUUAUGCCUUCCCAUACCCCCACCGCCACCAUGGGGCACUCUGUUCACAAUGUUGACAUCAGCAAACCGCUCACCCACAAGACGCCCCAAAAAACUGGGAUUCAUCUGUGACGGGCACAUUUUUCCAGCGUGUCAGUGGCCAUCGAAGGUGAGCAUUUGCCCACUGAAGUCGGUUACGAUGUCGAACUGCAGUCAGGUCAAGACCCUGGUGAGGAUGACGAGCACACAGAAGAGCUUCCCUGAGACAGUUUCUGACAGUUUGUGCAGAAAUUUGGUUGUGCAAACCCACAGCUUCAUCAGCUGUCCAGGUGGCUGGUCUCAGACGAUCCCGCAGGUGAAGAAGCCAGAUGUGGAGGUCCUGGGCUGGCGUGGUUGUGAGGCCCGUUGGACGUACUGCCAAAUUCUCUAAAAUGGUGUUGGUGGCUUAUGGUAGAGAAAUGAACCUAAAAUUCUCUUGCAACAGCUCUGAUGGACAUUCCUGCAGUCAGCAUGCCAACUGCAUGCUCCCUCAACUUGAGACAUCUGUGGCAUUGUGUUGUGAGACAACUAAACAGAGUUAAUUACCCAAAGAACAUCCAAUCACGCUUAGGGUCAUGUAAAAAAAUGCUGGGCAGGCCAUUAUUUUGGCUACCAUGGAAAUGCCCCCAUCCACAGAGCACGAGUGUUCAGUGAAUGGUUUGAUGAGCAUGAAAACAAUUUAAACCAGUUGCCAUGGCAGUCUCAGUCACCAGAACUCAACCCAACUGAACACUUAUGGGAGAUUCUGGAGCAGUGCCUGAGACAGCGUUUUCCACCACCAUCAACAAAACACCAAAUUAUGGAAUUUCUGGUGGAAGAAUGGUGUCUCAUCCCUCCAAUAUAGUUGCAGACACUUGUAGAAUCUGUGCCAAUGUGCAUUAAAGCUGUUCUGGCUCGUGCUGGCCCAACGCCCUAUUAAGAUAUUUUAUGUUGGUGUUUCCUUUAAUUUUGCUAUUACCUGUGUAUUCACUAUAGUAAAGAUCUGUUAAUAAUGGCCCGUUGUUUGGAAGUGUAACAGACGUUUUUGUCAGACCCAGAUCAAGGCUUCUCCUGGAAUUAAAAGCACUUUAUAUGGUGUGUAUAUAUAAUAUGGUCCUAGUAUUAAACAUGUAUUAAAUAUGUAAUCUGCAAUAGUUCCCUGUGAACAGUAAUGAGUUAGGAUGUCCCUGGGACAUCAUGAAAUGGUCCCCUGGAGGUUUUUGUCUAGUUCCUGGUUGGUCCCGGGGAUGUCCCCAUGGAUGUUUUUAGGAUUUUCUUUAGACGUUGUGUCAUGUUCCCCUGGAGGAACGUCACUUGAUGGGAAUUAUUAUUUGUAUUUAUUUAUUUCACCUUUAUUUAACCAGGUAGGCAAGUUGAGAACAAGUUCUCAUUUACAAUUGCGAGCUGGCCAAAGCAGUUCGACACAUACAACAACACAGAGUUACACAUGGAGUAAAACAAACACAGUCAAUAAUACAGUAGAAAAAUAAGUCUAUAUACAAUGUGAGCAAAUGAGGUGAGAUAAGGGAGG